rnacentral:rRNA from 1 species
UACGUAGGGGGCAAGCGUUGUCCGGAAUCAUUGGGCGUAAAGCGCGUGUAGGCGGCCCGGUAAGUCCGCUGUGAAAGUCGGGGGCUCAACCCUCGAAUGCCGGUGGAUACUGUCGGGCUAGAGUGCGGAAGAGGAGAAUGGAAUUCCUGGUGUAGCGGUGAAAUGCGCAGAUAUCAGGAAGAACACCCGUGGCGAAGGCGGUUCUCUGGGACGGUGACUGACGCUGAGACGCGAAAGCGUGGGGAGCGAACAGG